ACCCCAAAGCUGGAAGGAUCUGGUUC
rnacentral:piRNA from 1 species